GCCACAAUUCCCAUUGGGAUAGUUUAUUUUGAAGAGCAAAAAUGUUUAGCAAGUUGGGACAAUUCAUUUUUGAAGAGCAAAAAUGCUCACAAACGUGUUACUUUGGACUACUCCUUCGUGAAAGCUCUCGGCCAACUAUCAUGUUUUGUUAUUGUCCAAGAUUUCAACAAAAAAAAUUAAGAAAUCAGGAGUAUAAAUUUAUGUUUUCUUCCAUUUAUUGAGGAAAUCAGUUGCAAGGAAUUCGAGGACUCGGGAAACGUAUAUAACUCCAUCAACGAGGUAUGUAGGGCUUUCUCUUCUCUUCUUGGCAUGACUAUAAUUCAAAUGAGCUUUCAUUGAAACGUUAUUUCCGUUAACUUGUGUCGACCACGUUCAAUAAUGAUCGAGCUAAUCUCUACUUCAUAUAUGACUUGUGUCAAAGUACUUUCUAUGGUUUCACAUCUCUUUUGGUUAACGAUUGAACGACCUUCCGUUAACUUGUAUCAACCACAUUCCGAAAUAGUUAAGAUCAUCUCUUCUCAUGAAUAGCUUAUAGUGGAAUACUUUCCCGCAGUUCGUAUCUAUUGUUUGUCAAUUGAAGAAUGAUGUUCAUUAUGGUACUCUUCACGUCAAAGUUGAGGCAAUUGUAUUUCCAAUCAUUUGAGUUGAUCUUUACCUCACGUGUAAUCCAUAUCAAGUAUAUUUCAUAUUCUUUACAUUUAUGGUUUUCUUGAUUGAAAGCUAAAGAACGUAGUGACAAUAAUGAAAAUCGGAGGGUAACGACGACAGGUCACUCCGACUCUUUCUAUGAUGUCUCUUCUGAGGUCAGUCUUGCAUUGCACUUAUAUAUAUGUAUAUAUUUUCAUUACCGAGCCGCGCUAUAGUAGGCCGGGUAUCCACUUAUAUGUGCACCUAGACAUGUUUCUUUCUUUACCGAGUCGUGUUGUAGGCGGUCGGGUAGGCACGUAGCUGUGCACCUAGAUGUAUUUCUUUCUUUACCGAGCCGUGUUGUAGGCGGCCGGGUAGGCACGUAGCUGUGCAUUGCCACUGAUCAGUUGGGCAGAGAUGAUGUUAUGAUGAUGAGCUCACCCCACAGAGGGAUUUAUUAUUGUUAUAUGAUAUGAUAUAUGCCUCCACAGUGAGGAAUGAUUUUGCGGGCAUGCAUUUACAUUUAUGUCAUGAUUAUGGUCGCCCUCAGUGGCCUCGUUCAGAGUUUCAGGUUGUCUCUACAUCUUUUCCCAAGUUAUCUGUAUCUCUUAUGCUUAUGUUAUGUUUAUGCUUACUGCCUUACAUACUCGGUACAUCUUUCGUACUGACGCAUUUUAUGCGCUGUGAUCAUGCCCACAGGUACGGUAGACGGAUUGUUGUACCUUUCUCAGUAGGAUACCAAAGUUCAGCAGGGAUGUUCGCACUCCAUUCUCCAGAGUUGCUGGUCAGAGUCAUUAAAUAGGAUGCAUGCAUAUAUAUAAAGAGAGUAUAGCUAUGGGUACGUCGGGGCCACUGUCCCGACCAGUUGAUGCAUAUUAGUGCUCUUAGAGGCUUACAGACUAUCAGUCAGUGUACAGGUAUUGUGUUUGGCCUUGCCGGCCUUCUGACUAGUUGUCUUUCUUGGUUGUGGCCUUGUUGGCCCUUGUAAUACAUAUAUGUGUUAUUGGGC